AUGAGCAACCAUUGCGAAUGCUGUGAGAGGAUGAUACGGUUCAUCAGAGAAACGUGCUGUGCCGGCACGAAGGCUGCCUCUGAUGUUACAAAACCAAGCAGUCGCUAUGUUGAUAAUUCAAGCAGUUCUCAUAAUGGUACCACUCAGUCGUCAGCAGGGGAAGGUUCAGAUUCAGAUGGAAGCCAAAAGGAAAGCUCGUACAGUCAUCAAAAAUCAGCAAAGAAGGCUGCAAUAUCAGAUUCUUCUGAGGAAUUAUCAGCUGAAGACAGUCUAUCUGCAGACAAUUCGGUGGAAUCAGAUGAUCUGCAGAUGCAUUCGGAUGACUGUGUCUUUUCAGGGUGGUGCUAUCUUACAGAAGCACAGAAGGUGAAGAUACAUGCACUUGUAGAGAAAAUUCGACCUGAAAUCCCAGUGCUUGUUGUACAGAUGAAGAAGACCAGCGCAAACAUUGGUAAUCUGGUAAUACGCAAGGACUACGCACUCAAGUACUUCCCAUGUGAAGCUACAGAUAUCAUACUCCAGCUGCCUGGCAAGAACAAGGAAUGGAGGUGCAAAUUGCAGAUCAGGCCAUCUGGCAUGGUUGGUGCUGGUCGGCGCAACCUUUAUUUGGGCAGCUUUGUCCACGACAACUGUGUUCAAGAGGGAGAUAUCUGCCUCUUUCAGCCACUAGCAAAGGUUAAGGAAGAAAAGUUCACAGUAAUUGUCCAUCUGCUUCACAAAGAGGGCAUUCGUCGUUCCUCUGGUGGAAGAGCUGAUAUGGCACACACGGCUGCUGAAAGAAGGAUAUGCGCAAAGACGGCGUUAACAGCCUCUGUUAAGGAGGAACCGGCUACCGAUGGUGAAGAUACGUUAUCUUUGGGAUCUGAAGAGGAUGGAGGCAAUUCUGAGGGAGCUUCUGAGACCCCCUUCAUAUUGCCAGACAGACCCUUUGUAACGCCAGCACAGGAGCAGAAAGUGCGGGAGAAAGUAGAAGCCAUUGACUCGACAGUACCAGUUUACGUCGCGAUCCUGAACAGGUCCAAUGUUCGUUACGACAAUUUCACCACCUUCCUAACAUUUGGCGCAAAGUACGCAUCAAGGUAUCUCAACAAGAAUUACGGUGCUGGGCAUCACGGAAAGAAGAACAUGAUCAGUUUGGUGCUUCAGCGGGAGGGGAAGAGCAGGACGUGGAACACGGAGCUGCAACGCAGGGUGGAUCGGACGUCGAUCCUCAAAGGAUGGGCGUCUUUCGCCCGUGGCAACCGCCUGCGGGAGGGUGACCUCUGCCUCUUCAAGUUAAUGGAAAGCGUGGAACCGCUGAAGAUGAUGGUGUACAUCAUUCGCCGGUCAUGCUGCUCUAAUUACCAGAUCAGCAAUGCUUCGAUUAUCAGUGUUGUUGUGCUAUUAAUUAUCAAGUCAUGGGACACAAUGCCGAGGAAGCGCAAAGGAGAUGGUGAUGGGAUUGAUGAGGUUCCUUCGAAAAAGGCGAAGCGCCCUCCUCCGCGGAACAGAGCCUCAUCCAGUUCGCUUCUUGUUGCAUGCAAAGACAUGAAUGAUGACAGGAAGGCUGCCAUUGAUGAGAUGGAUUUCACAAGCCUUCGGAAUAUCCAGUGUGACCAUCUCUUCAACAAUCUCAGUGUGUGGCUUGCUGACCUGUACAAUCCCGAUUCCCGUGUGGUGGUCGUACAAGGGCGGGGUAGGCUUCCGGUUAAUGAGAAAUAUGUGCAUCAUGUUAUGGGCGUGCCGCAUGGAGGGAAAGAUGUCCCUUACAACCUCCCUACCGAAGCUGAUAUUGAGUUAGGACUUGAGUUGUUUGGCAAACUCAGAUAUGCCCCUAAAAUGACUGAUCUUGUCUAUCUCAUCAAGGGUUCUGUAAAUGCUGAUGAUACUUUCAAGCGUAUGUGGCUUUUGCUUGCUAGCAAUAGAGUCAUCGCCCCGACCACCUCCAACAAAGUCAGCCCUAGGUGUUUCUUUGUUUUCAACUUGCGGCGGGACAUUGAUGGUAUUAAAAAACUCAAUUGGUCCAUAUUCAUUGCCGACGAAUUACACAAGGCACUGCUGAAACGCAAGCCUACCAGGGGUUGCCUUCUCUUCUACAAUCUAUUGUACAUUCAUGCAACUGAUCUUUCUGGACUCGGCAUCGUAUUGCCUGAUGGUCCUUUUCCUAUCAAUGUCUGGACGAAGAAGCUGAUAACUCUUGUCCUAAACAAGGAUGUUCAGGCUGACAAAGCUUCUUUCGGGAAACUACCGUUGAAGCCUGAGUUUGGCAUGAAUUUAUGUCUGUUUGGUGGUCUGGAAGGUCUUGAUAUAUUUAUGCGUGUUCAUGUUGCCCCAAGCUGCAGUGAGGAGAAACUUGCUAAAUCUACUCAGACAGUUGGUCGAUUCACGUCUGCCAUGGCUGGCAUACUAGGUGAUCUUGUGCAAUCAUUCACCUGUUUGGAUGAUGAAGGACAUUCAGAUGCCUCCCGUCAGCUGGACGCUGGAUUGAAUGUUCUUUCUUCUACUGCUCGUACUACGGCAAGGACCAGAUGCUCAUCGCAAAGCAGGCAGCCAGAAAGCCCUGGAAAGAACAUUGCCGAUGAUUCUAAUAGUGAUGACGAGUACCACGGCGGCAAUGACGCUUGUUCUGAUGCUGACUUCGAUGAUGAUGAUGAUGAUGCUACAGGCAGCGGGCCAGCUGAUGAUGACACCACACAUCCGGAGGAUGCAACUGUCAAAGCUCAUGACAACAUAGCAGCAAAUGUUGGAGGCACGCCUCUCCGCACUGGUGAUGAGAACCUUAAUGAGUCUCAGAUCAUGCUCACUGGCACCUCUCACACAGCAUCAAGGCGUAAGAAACUGAGGCUACCAUCACCCCCCCGUCCAGCUUCACCAACUGUACCGCCCCGUCCAGCUUCACCAGUUGUGCCGCCACGACCUUCUUCACCCGUUAUUCCGCCCAGCCCAUCGCAAAGGCCAUCUUCACCAGAUUCCCCGUUAGCAGCUGAAACUCAUUUAGCUGUGAAGAAAAUUGUGGUCCAAGAGAUUGGUAUCCGUGUGGCUGAAAAGGGAACUGGUGUCACUGUCCCACCAUCCACCAAGCGGAAUGAGGCUCCACGCAGGGCACCUGUCAAACAAGCUGUUGUGGCUAAGGAUUCACCGAGUGCACCAGUUAAAAUUUUGGUUUACGUUAGCAUGAACAAUAUGCUGCUUGCUGCAGCGGCUACUAUUACUGAUGUUGUUGAAGAUAUCGCCAGCGCGGCUGUUGAUGUUGAAGAUGAAGUCGUUGCCAAUGCAGGGCAUGAUGAAGCCGUUCGUGUCAUUGAAGAUGUUGUGGGUGGUACCCGAGUCAAUGUGCCUAGUGAUACGGCAAUAGCUGAAGGUCAAGAGCAUGAUGGCCAGGAUCCUGCGGUGAUAAAAGAUGUCAAUGAAGAUAAAUCAGUCCCAGGAGUUGAUCCUGUCGUAGUGUCGAGCACCCCUGGAGCUGGAGAAGACACCGUUGUCUAUAUAGCCUAUGGUGAUUUUACGCCACGCAGCUGCUCUCUUGGGCUUGAUGCCAUUUUUGGUGCAACGCUAGAAGUACCACCAUCGACUGAAGCAUCUCCGACGGUUCAAGCUACACCAGCAUCAGCUCCUAUGGUUCAAGCUGCACCUCCAUCACCAGAAGCAUCAGCAGUGGCGGCAUCGUAUCAAGUACAACAUGCAGCAGGAAAAGCAUUAGCGGUGGUGGCAAAGGAUCAAGUACCACCUGCAGUACCAGAAGCAUCGGUGGCGGCGACAUCUGAUCAAGUACCCAUCUGCAUCAGGAGAAGCAUCAGCAGCAGCGGCAUCGGCAUCGGCUCAAGUACCUCCUGCAGCACCAGAAGCAUCAGUGAUGGCGGCAUCUGA
rnacentral:rRNA from 1 species